CAUUUCGAUUCUGCGCAGAAAGUGGCACAAUGAUGGGCCAACUGGGCUAGAAUUAAUCUGCUGUUUUAGUGGGCCGGGUCAUCCAAAAUUAAUAAGUGAUUGCUGUUUUCAUUUUGGCAAAAAACGGGAGUGGCUGAACACAUUUUUUUCUCUCAUUUAAAUGGGCUGGCCAGAUUUUGACAAGUGGCCAAUUACCUGCCAUUGGAUGGAGAAUUCAAGUGGUAUUCAUAUUUAAUUCAUUAGGGCUGGACGAAAAGGAAACAUAAAGAAUUCAGAUUUCUCUCUCUCUCUCUCUCUCUCUCUCUCUCUCUCUCAUUUUUAAGAGUUCUUCUCUGCCUCUCGUCUCUCCCUCUCUCUUGGUGGUCCAUUAUAUAUCAAUUUUUGCAUUCCAAAAAUUUAGCCUAUUGAUGAGAAAUUAGUCCUACCUUGUAUAGAUAAUCUUGAGUGAUUUAACAAGGUGUAUAAGUGUUAUUCUUGAGUGAAUGCCAUUGUCGAAGUAUAGAAGCUUGUGUUGAAAUAAUCUUGAGAGAUUAUUGUAUAGGCUUCGAUUCACCAUUCUUGAGUGAAUGUUGUCGGUUUAUGAGGCUUAAUUUUGGGGGAAAUCUUCUGUGAUUUUCUCCUGAGUGCCAAAAAGAUUGUACUAG
rnacentral:lncRNA from 1 species